UUAUUCGUAUUGUUUCUACAGAUCCUGUUUCUUCUCUUAUUUGAGAAGUGGAAGCCCUAGCUGAUUCGUUAGGGACCGAAUAGUACUCACUAGGAGUAGAGUGAGUGGAGUACCUAGAGGAUGUGGUCCUAGGAAGUCUUAAUGUUCUUUGAGAACUAAAUCUUACUUCGACAUCUCCUUCUGAUGUCUCAACAAUUUGAUCUAUUUCUUGAUUUAUUAUCGGC
rnacentral:lncRNA from 1 species